UUUUGUCCACAGUUAUAACUGAAAGGGUUUGGCAGUGAGUUAAGUUCGUCCGGGGGAACGUGCAUAUUAAAAAGAUGGUCCACUUAAAAGCUUACUAUAGUUAUACGUUAGUGUAUAUCCGUUUGUAUAUUUACGCUGAGAGGUUGCUAGUGGGUAAAUUAUUAGUUAAUUUAAAACAGGUCUAUAUGCUGCUAAUGCUAUAGGGUUUUGUGCGUUACAUUAAAAGAGUAUGGUUUUUACUGAUGGAAGUGCCAUAUGUUUAGGACUCGGAAGUAGGAGUAAGAAGUAUGUUGCUUCGAAGGCUGAAAUAACACGUGUACACAUCGCCCGACAAUCUCGGUGAUAAGUUGAGUUAAGUCGUAACAUGGUAGUGCUUGAAGAAUCAACA
rnacentral:rRNA from 1 species